rnacentral:piRNA from 1 species
UGGAAGCUAGGAACAUGGACAAGGAGCCU